AUUCUUAUAGUCCACCCAUUUCUGCCAACAAGAAACCGCAUUGAAUGCCUGCCUCCUACAUUCCUAGUUUUUUGCUUUCUCUCCCUCCUCCCAUUCAUGGAGCUCUAUAAUGUAAAUGUGAUAAAACCAUCCUAAAACCAAUGAGAGCCUAGCCACCUCGGGUAAUCAAUCCAAAUCAUGUAGAAGUUAUGACAACCCAACUCGAUCUGAGUGCAGCCAAACAAGCUGAUUGUGCUGUAUGAAUAUGGAUGAAUAGAGACAAAGAAAACAUGUUGAUCAAGUCGCCAUGGUCUUGAAACUGAUAUGAGCAGGUGAGCAUACUAAAAGAACAGAAAAUGUUAUUUACCCAAUGGGUUGAAGCUGAUGUCUCAGUGGCCUAAUCCGUUACUUUUUUAUAUCAGUCUUCAACAUCGAAUCUGUUAUUUACCCAAUGUGUUGAAGCUGAUGUCUCAGUGGCCUAGUCCUCCGUUACUUUUUUUAUAUCAGUGCUCAUAUAUAUGUCAAAUUUCCUGGCUACAACAAUUGCUGCAUGCAUGAGCAUAUGCCACUGAUUUAUCCAUGCAAUUAGUUGAAGAAAAUAAAUAUAAGUGAUGUAUUUUUGCCUGUUGAAAUUACUCGUGAUAACCAUAUAACAAGGACACAACACUACCGGAAUCUGGCUCUUUGCUCAAUGAUAAAUGGUUUGCCCAGUAUUUUUUUGGGCACUCAACAAAGAAGCUCUUUGCUGGCUGCUAAAAAAACACUCGGCCAAAAAAAACACUGGGCAAAGAGGCUUCUUUGCCAAGUAUAAAAAAACAAUCGGCAAG
rnacentral:lncRNA from 1 species